rnacentral:rRNA from 1 species
AUGAUUGAUGGAAGCACACUGUUAAUUCUGAAGAUGCCAAUGCUGAUGCAACUAUGGAAUGAUUGGGAACUACAGCUACUGGUGCUCCUAGGCUUCAUGCUACAGAUUUUCAUCUUCUUUCCUGGUAGCCUCGGGCGGUGCAGCACCAACUCAGGACUGAGGCUUCUGAUUUGGUUGGCUUACUUGCUAUCUGACAUGGUCGCAGUCUACGCUCUUGGCCAGCUUUCACUGCAUAAAAGGGAUGUGCCUGGAGCUUCAGAAAUGCACCGGCUCUUGUUUUUCUGGACGCCUUUCCCCCUCAUUCAUCUUGGUGGGCAAGAUACCAUCAUCGCUUUCUCCAUUGAGGACGAUCGAGUUAAUGGCUGA